AUGGAGAUUUAGCUGUGGUUUUGGUAUUCACUGUAUGUCAUAUCCCCUUCCACCUGCCCUGCACUGGUGGUGUUGCUUGCCGGUUGCCUUAGGAAUAGCAAGCGCUCUAGGUUAGGCAGAAAGUCUGAUUAGAAACAGAUGGUUGUGGGAACUAAGCAACCAUAUUUUCUCUAUAGCUCCUGAGACAUACAGCAAGUGGUGAUGGUCCCCUUCUCCAUGUGAACUGUUUAAGCGUUUUAUUCCC
rnacentral:lncRNA from 1 species